rnacentral:rRNA from 1 species
AUCAAUAAGCGGAGGAAAAGCAACUAACCAGGAUUCCCCCAGUAACGGCGAGCGAAGCGGGAACAGCUCGAGCAGGCAAUCUCUGGUGUCGAUCGCCAGCGAAUUGUGGCCGGCAGAGGCGGGUGCACCCGACGCGACACCGUCGAAGUUGACCUGGAAAGGCACGUCGGAGAGGGUGAUAGCCCCGUGUGCGACGGGGUCGCGGAGGGCCGCUACCGUCUUCCGAGAGUCGGGUUGUUUGGGAGUGCAGCCCAAAGUGGGUGGUAAACUCCAUCUAAAGCCAAAUAACGGCACGAGACCGAUAGCGAACAAGUACCGUGAGGGAAAGGUGAAAAGCACUUUGGAAAGAGAGUUAAAGAGGCCGCGAAA